GAAGAUCUUGCCUUUUACCUCUUUGGGUAAAAAGAGGUCAAUUCAUUGUCCAUUGAUGGGGAUCUUGACUGUUACUUCUGUGAGUAAGGAACAAUCUAAACCUGGACUCUUCCUUCUUCUAAAUGUUGGCAUUGGACUCCACAGAAGGAAGCCCAUGGCUGAUUCAGUCAGGCUCUGCUGCUGAAGAUCUCACCUGUUACCUUUGUGGAGAAUGGGCGCACCGUGAUUCAGUUAAGGAGUGUAGAAUCUUAUGGUGGGCAGUCGAGCUGAUUGAAGCAUCUUCCGUGAUCGGGAGCUCCAUAUGUAGGAGAAUGGAGAUGAGUAAUGGGUGCACUGGAGGUGGUUUAAGGAUUCUUCUGUGGUGACAAGAUGUCUGGUUGUCUCUCUGUGUUUGGCACAUAGAAACAAAUAAUGAACACAUCGAAGCUGAUUUAAGAAUUAUGCCUUGGUCAACAAUCUCUAUAUUUGUCUGUAGGAGCAUGGAAACCAACAUGGAUGCUCUCGAGUGGGUUUAAGCAUCUUCUAUGAUCACAUGCUCGACAGUUGCCUCUGUGUAAUGAGUAUAGAGACCAGUGUAAGUAAUAAAGUUCAUGCCUUUGUUUCAGAGGUUUC